rnacentral:rRNA from 1 species
UUCGUCCAAGUGAAAUAGAGGACAGUGGCGGACGGGUGAGUAACGCGUGAGGAACCUGCCUUUCAGAGGGGGAUAACGGCUGGAAACGGUCGCUAAUACCGCAUGACGUGUUCGGAUGGCAUCAUCUGAACAUCAAAGAUUUAUCGCUGAAAGAUGGGCUCGCGUCUGAUUAGAUAGUUGGUGGGGUAACGGCCUACCAAGUCUACGAUCAGUAGCCGGACUGAGAGGUUGAACGGCCACAUUGGGACUGAGAUACGGCCCAGACUCC